GAUGAACGCUGGCGGCGUGCUUAACACAUGCAAGUCGAACGAAGCACUUUAUUUGAUUUCCUUCGGGACUGAUUAUUUUGUGACUGAGUGGCGGACGGGUGAGUAACGUGUGGGUAACCUGCCUUGUACAGGGGGAUAACAGUUGGAAACGGCUGCUAAUACCGCAUAAGCGCACAGCAUCGCAUGAUGCAGUGUGAAAAACUCCGGUGGUAUAAGAUGGACCUGCGUUGGAUUAGCUAGUUGGUGAGGUAACGGCCCACCAAGGCGACGAUCCAUAGCCGACCUGAGAGGGUGACCGGCCACAUUGAGGCUGAGACACAGCCCGAACUCCUACGGGAUGCAGCAGUGGGUGAUAUUGCACAAUGGGCGAAAGCCUGAUGCAGCGACGCCGCGUAGGCGAAGAAGUAUGUCGGUAUGUAAAGCGCUAUCAGCAGGGAAGGUAAUGACGGUACCUAACUAGGAAGCACCGGCUAAAUACGUG
rnacentral:rRNA from 1 species